GAUGAACGCUGGCGGCGUGCCUAAUACAUGCAAGUCGAGCGAACGGACCAGAAGCUUGCUUCUCUGAUGUUAGCGGCGGACGGGUGAGUAACAUGUGGAUAACCUACCUAUAAGACUGGGAUAACUUCGGGAAACCGGAGCUAAUACCGGAUAAUAUUUUGAACCGCAUGGUUCAAAAGUGAAAGACGGUCUUGCUGUCACUUAUAGAUGGAUCCGCGCUGCAUUAGCUAGUUGGUAGGGUAACGGCUUACCAAGGCAACGAGGCAUAGCCGACCUGAGAGGGUGAUCGGCCAGCCGGGAACUGAGACACGUCCCAGACUCCGGCGGGAGGAAGCAGUAGGGAAUCUUCCGCGAUGGACGAGAGCCGAACAGUGCACCGCCGCGUGAGUGAUGAUGGUCUUCGGAUCGGAAAGCUCUGAUAUUAGGGAAGAACAUAUGUGUAAGUACCUGUGCACAUCUUGACGGUACCUAAUCAGAAAGCCACGGCUAACUACGUG
rnacentral:rRNA from 1 species